UACUCCUACGGGAGGCAGCAGUGGGGAAUCUUCCGCAAUGGACGAAAGUCUGACGGAGCAACGCCGCGUGAGUGAUGACGGCCUUCGGGUUGUAAAGCUCUGUUAAUCGGGACGAAUGGUUCUUGUGCAAAUAGUGCGAGGAUUUGACGGUACCGGAAUAGAAAGCCACGGCUAACUACGUGCCAGCAGCCGCGGUAAUACGUAGGUGGCAAGCGUUGUCCGGAAUUAUUGGGCGUAAAGCGCGCGCAGGCGGAUUGGUCAGUCUGUCUUAAAAGUUCGGGGCUUAACCCCGUGAUGGGAUGGAAACUGCCAAUCUAGAGUAUCGGAGAGGAAAGUGGAAUUCCUAGUGUAGCGGUGAAAUGCGUAGAUAUUAGGAAGAACACCAGUGGCGAAGGCGACUUUCUGGACGAAAACUGACGCUGAGGCGCGAAAGCCAGGGGAGCGAACGGGAUUAGAUACCCCGGUAGUCCUGGCCGUAAACGAUGGGUACUAGGUGUAGGAGGUAUCGACCCCUUCUGUGCCGGAGUUAACGCAAUAAGUACCCCGCCUGGGGAGUACGACCGCAAGGUUGAAACUCAAAGGAAUUGACGGA
rnacentral:rRNA from 1 species